rnacentral:rRNA from 1 species
ACAGCAGUCGCCACGGUAAUACAGAGGAUGCAAGCGUUAUUCGGAAUUACUGGGCGUAAAGCGCACGUAGGCGGCUUCGCAAGUCAGAGGUGAAAGCCUGGGGCUCAACUCCAGAAUUGCCUUUGAGACUGCGUCGCUCGAAUCCGGGAGAGGUGAGUGGAAUUCCGAGUGUAGAGGUGAAAUUCGUAGAUAUUCGGAAGAACACCAGUGGCGAAGGCGGCUCACUGGACCGGUAUUGACGCUGAGGUGCGAAAGCGUGGGGAGCAAACAGAAUUAGAGACCCCAGUAGUCCCUGUCUCUUAUAC